UAACACUUGUAAACUCUGUUUCAGGAGUGUCACGUGUGCCCUCUGCGAUUACACUUCGUGUGUGCGCGCUCUGCCUAGCCUGCCGCUGCCUCAGCCUGGAAGAUUUCAGGUCUGCUUCUGCUUCCCGACCAGAGUGUGCUGUGCCUGAAUUUGUGCUAAAAACAAGGUUCAGACAAACACUUAAGCAUUCCACAGGUGUGGACUGGCCUUCUGCUAAGUGUCGGGGCCUCCGGUCUGAGGACACCACGAUGAACUGGGUGUGUGUCCAACCUUCCAAGAAGGAGCAUAUCCUGCAGAAGCUGCGCCUGGUCCGUACACUUGGGUUCCCCUCCUCCUGUCUCCUCCAUGCACAGCUGCAGCUACCGAGUGAUAACUGGCAUGUGGUCGCAGACUCAAAGCCAGGAAGGGAAUGGCUUUCGCUGAUGUGUUUUCCCAAACGGUCAAGGGUUAUUGGUACCUUUCCAGGUAAAACAACAUGCCAAUUUCCCUCAGUUUACAGGGAAGUUACAUUCAUGGAAAAUCCAGUGUACUGAAGUCUCUGCAAAAAAGGUUUGCAUCCCUGCAACUUUCCCUUCCUAAAUGCCGGGACCUCCCUUUCAUCAUUUCAACAAUCAAAAUUGCCCUCUGAACUUUUCAAAAUGCGCCAGUAUUUUGGUUUAAAUAUUAAGUAUUAUUAUGCAGGUACCCUCCCCCCAAAGCCUCGUAUUCACAACCGAAGGACAGGAAUGUUGUGGUCCUUGCCUGCAUUUGGUCAGAGGAAAUAGUGUGGCAGUGUGGAGUAGCGCACAGUACCCCCCAGGAAGGAUUCCGGGCACCUUCCUCUUCGGUCUGCUUACUGUGAUGAGAAAAUGUUUCUGGGACAGCUAGGGUGUGAGGUAAAGCUUUGUUUCAAGGGUCACCACUGCCAUGGGAUGGCAGUGCCCAGGAUGGUUUUGUGGUAGUCAUGGCUCUUAGCUCCUGGACCUGGGCUUCUCCUCAUUGA